GACAGAGGGGGCAAGCGUUGCUCGGAAUUACUGGGCGUAAAGGGCGCGUAGGCGGGAUGGCAAGUCGGUCGUGAAAUCCCUCGGCUCAACCGAGGAACGUCGAUCGAUACUGCUGUUCUUGAGGAUUGCAGAGGAGACUGGAAUUCCCGGUGUAGCGGUGAAAUGUGUAGAGAUCGGGAGGAACACCGGAGGCGAAGGCGGCUUGCUGGGCUCGGUCUGACGCUGAGGCGCGAAAGCGUGGGGAGCGAACAGG
rnacentral:rRNA from 1 species